rnacentral:rRNA from 1 species
AGAGUUUGAUCCUGGCUCAGGAUGAACGCUAGCGACAGGCUUAACACAUGCAAGUCGAGGGGCAGCAUGAUUUGUAGCAAUACAGAUUGAUGGCGACCGGCGCACGGGUGAGUAACGCGUAUGCAACUUACCUAUCAGAGGGGGAUAGCCCGGCGAAAGUCGGAUUAAUACCCCAUAAAACAGGGGUCCCGCAUGGGAAUAUUUGUUAAAGAUUCAUCGCUGAUAGAUAGGCAUGCGUUCCAUUAGGCAGUUGGCGGGGUAACGGCCCACCAAACCGACGAUGGAUAGGGGUUCUGAGAGGAAGGUCCCCCACAUUGGUACUGAGACACGGACCAAACUCCUACGGGAGGCAGCAGUGAGGAAUAUUGGUCAAUGGCCGAGAGGCUGAACCAGCCAAGUCGCGUGAAGGAAGAAGGAUCUAUGGUUUGUAAACUUCUUUUAUAGGGGAAUAAAGUGGAGGACGUGUCCUUUUUUGUAUGUACCCUAUGAAUAAGCAUCGGCUAACUCCGUGCCAGCAGCCGCGGUAAUACGGAGGAUGCGAGCGUUAUCCGGAUUUAUUGGGUUUAAAGGGUGCGUAGGUGGUGAUUUAAGUCAGCGGUGAAAGUUUGUGGCUCAACCAUAAAAUUGCCGUUGAAACUGGGUUACUUGAGUGUGUUUGAGGUAGGCGGAAUGCGUGGUGUAGCGGUGAAAUGCAUAGAUAUCACGCAGAACUCCGAUUGCGAAGGCAGCUUACUAAACCAUAACUGACACUGAAGCACGAAAGCGUGGGGAUCAAACAGGAUUAGAUACCCUGGUAGUCCACGCAGUAAACGAUGAUUACUAGGAGUUUGCGAUACAAUGUAAGCUCUACAGCGAAAGCGUUAAGUAAUCCACCUGGGGAGUACGCCGGCAACGGUGAAACUCAAAGGAAUUGACGGGGGCCCGCACAAGCGGAGGAACAUGUGGUUUAAUUCGAUGAUACGCGAGGAACCUUACCCGGGCUUAAAUUGCACUCGAAUGAUCCGGAAACGGUUCAGCUAGCAAUAGCGAGUGUGAAGGUGCUGCAUGGUUGUCGUCAGCUCGUGCCGUGAGGUGUCGGCU